rnacentral:rRNA from 1 species
AAAGAAACCAACAGGGAUUGCCUCAGUAACGGCGAGUGAAGCGGCAAAAGCUCAAAUUUGAAAUCUGGCCUCUUUGGGGGUCCGAGUUGUAAUUUGAAGAGGAUGCUUCGGGUGCGGCCACGGCGCAAGUCCCUUGGAACAGGGCGUCGCAGAGGGUGAGAAUCCCGUCUCGAGCCGUCGGACCCGCGCCCAUGUGAAGCUCCUUCGACGAGUCGAGUUGUUUGGGAAUGCAGCUCUAAGCGGGUGGUAAAUUUCAUCUAAAGCUAAAUAUUGGCCGGAGACCGAUAGCGAACAAGUAGAGUGAUCGAAAGGUUAAAAGCACCUUGAAAAGGGAGUUAAAUAGCACGUGAAAUUGUUGAAAGGGAAGCGCUUGCGACCAGACUCGGGGGCGGGGUUCAGCGGCCAUUCGUGGCCGUGUACUCCCCGUUUCCCGGGCCAGCAUCGGUUCUCGCGGUCGGUCAAAGGCCCUCGGAAUGUGUCGUCCUUCGGGACGUCUUAUAGCCGGGGGUGCAAUGCGGCCAGCGGGGACCGAGGAACGCGCUUCGGCUCGGAUGCUGGCAU